rnacentral:rRNA from 1 species
AGCAGGUACGAAAGUAGGUCUUAGUGAUCCGGUGGUUCUGUAUGGAAGGGCCAUCGCUCAACGGAUAAAAGGUACUCUGGGGAUAACAGGCUGAUACCGCCCAAGAGUUCAUAUCGACGGCGGUGUUUGGCACCUCGAUGUCGGCUCAUCUCAUCCUGGGGCUGAAGCAGGUCCCAAGGGUAUGGCUGUUCGCCAUUUAAAGAGGUACGCGAGCUGGGUUUAGAACGUCGUGAGACAGUUCGGUCCCUAUCUACCGUGGGCGCUGGAAAUUUGAGAGGAUCUGCUCCUAGUACGAGAGGACCAGAGUGGACGAACCUCUGGUGUACCGGUUGUGACGCCAGUCGCAUCGCCGGGUAGCUAUGUUCGGAAGGGAUAACCGCUGAAAGCAUCUAAGCGGGAAGCCUACCUCAAGAUAAGAUUUCCCUAGGACUUUAUGUCCUCUAAAGAGCCGUUCGAGACUAGGACGUUGAUAGGUUGGAUGUGGAAGCAUAGUGAUAUGUGAAGCUGACCAAUACUAAUUGCUCGUGAGGCUUGACUAU